rnacentral:rRNA from 1 species
GACGAACGCUGGCGGCGUGCCUAAUACAUGCAAGUAGAACGCAGUUGCGAACGGGUGAGUAACGCGUAGGUAACUGCCUGGUAGCGGGGGUUAACUAUUGGAAACGAUAGCUAAUACCGCAUACUACCAGAUGGACCUGCGUUGUAUUAGCUAGUUGGUGAGGUAACGGCUCACCAAGGCAACGAUACAUAGCCGACCGGAGAGGGUGGUCGGGCACAAUGGGACUGGGGCACGGCCCAGACUCCUACGGGAGGCAGCAGUAGUGAAUCUUCGGAAAUGGGGGGAAACCUGACCGAGCAACGCCGGGUGAGUGAAGAAGGUUUUCGGAUCGUAAAGCUCUGUUGUUAAGGAAGCGGUACUUAACCAGAAAGGAACGGCUAACUACGUGCCAGCAGCCGCGGUAAUUC